AAAGGUGCACCAUCGUUGGGUCACCCGUCCGUAGAAACCUGUAAGGGUAGGCGUAGUUCCACGGGGAUUUUUGAAUCUUCAGGUGGUUGGUGAGCAAAGCGAGUAGAGAGUCUCCUAGCAUUUUGUAAAAACUUAUUAUUAGUUUUAUUAACGUGUACUCACCUUGUUUUUUUAAUUUCAAACGACUUUUAUAACUAUUUGAGGUAACAAUUUGAAAUUACUUUUUGGGCAGGGGAGAUUGUUGAGAGAAGGCAUAUAAUAUAUACCAAUUAGAUUUUUCUAGGCCCCUGUUCAUCUUAAUCUUGGUUACCCUAAAAGUCUUGGGAAAAUACGUCAAAUUCACAAGAUCUCUUGUUUUCGAUUAGGCAUUUUGAACCACACAACUAUUAUUUCGGUCCGAGCGGAUUACCGUGGCUUAGCGAUGUGGAGCAGAUGAUCAUUUGGCCUUAGACGCCCAUAAAAUACAUAGAUAUGAACACAAAUGUCUUGGCAGCAAUCGCGCUUUUUGUUUGAAUACAUAGCUAUAUGGCGCGUCGGUCACGGCCGAGAUAAGACUAAUCUCUCACCCAGCCCGCCAUCCAUCGCGACCCGCAUAAAACAAACAGGCGUGAGCUUCAGAUAAACAAUAAGAGCGCAUCAAAACAGUAUUAUAUUCAUCAUAUUAUUAUCAUUAUUACAGUAUAAGAGUUACGCGUUUCAUGGACCACGGUCGACUUGUUCGAUAAUCACGAGGCGGCCCUCUGCUGUAGUUUGUUAAAGGACAGGCACCGUGCGUCAAUCUUUUUCAAAUACCCUGCCAAAUUCGACAUUUGUCUACGAAUACCGAUUGCCUUUAAUAUAGGCGUUGUGGCGACGAAUUAAAUACUAUUCACAUCUCAUCGAUACGUGGACGAUCACACCCCGGAAUAUCACAGAUCGUAAUAUAUAAUAAUGUAAUAAUGAUUGUUUAAUAACUUCGGCAUCAUCUGCAAGUUCGACGAAAAUUCGCAAAACUCGUACCCGUCUAUAAACUCGACGAUUGCGGCUCGAAAUGCACCGAGGCCUCUUGCUGCUGCACUUCCGCGUCCGCCGAGUUCCGGACCCAGGUUCCGGCGCCGGAGGUCCGUCGGCGCCCAAGCCAGAGGCAUUCUAUGUCCACAGGAAAUCAGUUGGAGACUUUUCGAUCCAGCCGACAGUUCUCACGCACAGGAAACCCAAGAAGGAUGGGGAAACAAACUGGUGACGACGACAACGAUGACGUCCUGCAACGAACGACGUAGACCAGCUAAUAAACGUCGACGUAUAUCGUGAUGAUAAUAAUAAUUAUAGACAAAACGUGCACCGAAUACGUCAUCAUAUAUUGUAUUAAAAUUAUUUGGGUACCAGUUUCGUCUCAUUUCAAUCGAGCAAACCAAGUGACAGAACGUAACAACAAAACCAAUUUACAUGGAUAUUUUAUUUGUACAAGAAUAAUUGUGAAAAUUAUCUAUAAUAAUGCGUAAUAUCAAGAUCCACUUUUAUACUCAGUUGGCAGACCCUCAUCACAAUGACGCAUAUUAUAGUUCUCGAAUUCUAACAAUAUACUGAAUUAAGACACAAAAUAUACCAACUACUUACUGGAAACUCAAUAAGAAAACCUCGCACUGAUAAAAACAGUUUGGCUUGUUGACUACAAUAUACGCUAAACAAAUAAAUAAAUGAAAUAUAAUAACUUCAUUAGCAAAUUAUAUUUUUUCAAAAAUAAAUGUAAAUAUAUAGUCGAAUUGGCUAAUAAUGUUGUAGUUGAUGCCAAAAAUAUGUAUCAAAUAAUAUUAUUUUAAAGUAUUAAAAAAAAAAUCAGAAGAAAUUGAAUUUUAAUUUUUG